rnacentral:rRNA from 1 species
CUGCAGUGGGUACGGCAGACUAGAGUGCGGUAGGGGAGAUUGGAUUCCUGGUGUAGCGGUGGAAUGCGCAGAUAUCAGGAGGAACACCGAUGGCGAAGGCAGAUCUCUGGGCCGUAACUGACGCUGAGGAGCGAAAGGGUGGGGAGCAAACAGGCUUAGAUACCCUGGUAGUCCACCCCGUAAACGUUGGGAACUAGUUGUGGGGUCCAUUCCACGGAUUCCGUGACGCAGCUAACGCAUUAAGUUCCCCGCCUGGGGAGUACGGCCGCAAGGCUAAAACUCAAAGGAAUUGACGGGGACCCGCACAAGCGGCGGAGCAUGCGGAUUAAUUCGAUGCAACGCGAAGAACCUUACCAAGGCUUGACAUAUACGAGAACGGGCCAGAAAUGGUCAACUCUUUGGACACUCGUAAACAGGUGGUGCAUGGUUGUCGUCAGCUCGUGUCGUGAGAUGUUGGGUUAAGUCCCGCAACGAGCGCAACCCUCGUUCUAUGUUGCCAGCACGUAAUGGUGGGAACUCAUGGGAUACUGCCGGGGUCAACUCGGAGGAAGGUGGGGAUGACGUCAAAUCAUCAUGCCCCUUAUGUCUUGGGCUUCACGCAUGCUACAAUGGCCGGUACAAAGGGCUGCAAUACCGCGAGGUGGAGCGAAUCCCAAAAAGCCGGUCCCAGUUCGGAUUGAGGUCUGCAACUCGACCUCAUGAAGUCGGAGUCGCUAGUAAUCGCAGAUCAGCAACGCUGCGGUGAAUACGUUCCCGGGUCUUGUACACACCGCCCGUCAAGUCAUGAAAGUCGGUAACACCUGAAGCCGGUGGCCUAACCCUUCUGGAGGGAGCCGUCG